rnacentral:rRNA from 1 species
GAUGAACGCUAGCGGCAGGCCUAAUAAAUGCAAGUCGAACGGUGUCUUCGGACAUAGUGGCGCACGGGUGCGUAACACGUAUGCAACCUACCUUACAUUGGGGGAUAGCCUUUCGAAAGGGAGAUUAAUACCGCAUAAGACAGUAGCUGGGCAUCCAGCCGCUGUUAAAGAUUUAUCGAUGUAAGCUGGGCAUGCGUCCAAUUAGCUAGUUGGUGAGGUAACGGGUCACCAAGGCAAUGAUUGGUAGGGGAACUGAGAGGGCAAUCCCCCACACUGGCACUGAGAUACGGGCCAGACUCCUACGGGAGGCAGCAGUAGGGAAUAUUGGGCAAUGGACGCAAGUCUGACCCAGCCAUGCCGCGUGCAGGAUGAAGGCGUUAUGCGUUGUAAACUGCUUUUAUACAGGAAGAAACGACUCUUGCGAGAGGCAUUGACGGUACUGUAUGAAUAAGCACCGGCUAACUCCGUGCCAGCCGCCGCUGUAAGAC